rnacentral:rRNA from 1 species
CUAUGAGUCUUUUGGAGGUUGUGCCCUUGAGGCGUGGCUUCCGGAGCUAACGCGUUAAAUAGACCGCCUGGGGAGUACGGCCGCAAGGUUAAAACUCAAAUGAAUUGACGGGGGCCCGCACAAGCGGUGGAGCAUGUGGUUUAAUUCGAUGCAACGCGAAGAACCUUACCUGGUCUUGACAUCCACAGAAUUUCUCAGAGAUGACGAGGUGCCUUCGGGAACUGUGAGACAGGUGCUGCAUGGCUGUCGUCAGCUCGUGUUGUGAAAUGUUGGGUUAAGUCCCGCAACGAGCGCAACCCUUAUCCUUUGUUGCCAGCGAUUCGGUCGGGAACUCAAAGGAGACUGCCAGUGAUAAACUGGAGGAAGGUGGGGAUGACGUCAAGUCAUCAUGGCCCUUACGACCAGGGCUACACACGUGCUACAAUGGCAUAUACAAAGAGAAGCGACCUCGCGAGAGCAAGCGGACCUCAUAAAGUAUGUCGUAGUCCGGAUUGGAGUCUGCAACUCGACUCCAUGAAGUCGGAAUCGCUAGUAAUCGUGGAUCAGAAUGCCACGGUGAAUACGUUCCCGGGCCUUGUACACACCGCCCGUCACACCAUGGGAGUGGGUUGCAAAAGAAGUAGGUAGCUUAACCUUCGGGAGGGCGCUUACCACUUUGUGAUUCAUGACUGGGGUGAAGUCGUACAAAGGUAACCGAAGAGUUUGAUC